AUGAACACAAAACCGCCAUUGCCACCAUCUUCAAUAACUGCUACAAACUCCGUAUUCCCAUUCCCCCACGCCCUCACACUCCACCCCGUUCCUCCUCCAGCCUCACCUACUGCCCCCACCAAACCCCCACACUCAUUUCGCGUCCAAACCGCUGCCAAUCGCAUCGACCCCAACCUCUCUCUCACCACCAGCACCGCCGCUGCCACCGCCUCCACGCUGCCAUCCAACGCUGAUGACUACAAACUCCUAACACUCCUCCGGCAAAGAAGAACAGAGGAGGCCUGGCUAAUCUACUCUGAGGGGAGCCGCCUCCCCAGCUCCACCUGCCUCAGCCGCCUAGUCUCCCAAUUAUCCUACCAAAACACCCACCAGUCUCUCACCCGCGCUCAGUCCAUCGUCCACCGCCUCCGCCACGAGCAGCAGCUCCACCGCCUAGAUGCCAACUCCCUCGGCCUCCUCGCCGUCGCCGCCACCAAGGCUGGCCUCACCCUAUACGCCACUUCCCUCAUCAAGUCCAUGCUCCGCUCUGGCUACCUGCCCCACGUUAAGGCCUGGAGCGCCGUCGUCAGCCGCCUUGCAGCCUCAGGUGACGACGGCCCCGCCCUUGCCCUCCGCCUGUUCAAUUCCAUCGUCAGAAGGGUCCGCCAGUUUGCGGACCCUGCGGCCGUAGGUGAUGCACGACCGGACACCGCCGCCUACAAUGCCGUACUCAAUGCAUGCGCCAAUAUGGGAAAUACAGGGGAGUUCCUGCGACUGUUUGCGGAAAUGUCUGAGUUUGAUGCGGUGCCUGAUGCGCUAACUUACAAUGUUAUGAUCAAGCUCUGCACUAGAGCUGAUAGAAAGGAUUUGCUUGUGCUUGUCUUGGAAAGGAUACUAGAUGAGGGAAUUCCCUUGUGCAUGACAACUUUACAUUCACUUGUUGCAGCCUAUGUGGGUUUUGGUGACUUGGAAACAGCUGAGAAAAUGGUUCAGGCAAUGCGGGAAGGACGGCGAGAUCUCUGCAAGAUCCUCAGGGAAUCAAAUUGGCAAAACCCGAAUCAUAAUGAGGGAGAUGUAUUUGACAAAUUGCUUCCCAUUUCAGCUAAGCGGAGUGACCAUGAACCACCACUCUUACCGAAACAAUAUGCUCCUAAUACUAGAAUGUACACAACUUUGAUGAAGGGAUACAUGAAGGCUGGCCGUGUAAGCCACACGGUCCAAAUGCUGGAAGCAAUGCGGCAACAGGAUGAUAGUGCCAGCCAUCCCGACCAUGUUACAUACACAACUGUUGUUUCUGCACUUGUCAAAGCAGGCCGGAUGGACAGGGCCCGGGAGGUGCUAGCCGAAAUGGAACGAACUGGUGUGCCUGCAAAUAGGAUCACUUAUAAUAUACUGCUGAAGGGUUACUGCCAGCAGCUGAAGAUAGAGAAGGCAAAGGAGCUCAUCCGUGAGAUGGCCGAUGAUGCUAGGAUAUUGCCUGAUGUGGUGUCAUAUAACACCUUAAUUGAUGGAUGCAUACUGAUUGAUGACAGUGCCAGUGCUCUGGCCUGCUUUAAUGAGAUGCGAGCGAGAGGGAUUGCCCCUACCAAGAUCAGUUACACCACUUUGAUGAAAGCUUUUGGCCUAUCUGGUCAACCAAAGCUAGCUAACAAGGUGUUUGAUGAAAUGAUGAAUGAUCCACGAGUAAAGGUUGAUUUACCUGCUUGGAAUAUGUUGAUUGAAGGGUAUUGUAGGCUGGGGCUUUAUGGAGAAGCUAAGAAGAUAGUUCAGAAAAUGAGAGAGAGUGGGCUUCACCCCAAUGUUUCUACCUAUGGAAGUCUUGCAAACGGGAUUGCAUUGGCAAGAAAACCAGGGGAAGCACUUCUACUUUGGAAUGAAAUAAAGGAGAGGUGUGAAGCCAAAAAGGAAGGAGAGAAUUCCAGAUCUUCUGCCCCACCAUUGAAGCCUGAUGAAGGGCUGUUAGAUACUCUGGCGGAUAUUUGUGUAAGGGCAGCUUUCUUUAGGAAGGCCUUGGAGAUUGUGGCAUGUAUGGAAGAGAACGGAAUAUCACCCAAUAAGACCAAGUUCACUAAAAUCUAUGUGGAGAUGCAUUCAAGAAUGUUUACUAGUAAGCAUGCCUCAAGGGCAAGGCAGGACAGAAGAAAGGAGAGGAAGAGAGCAGCUGAGGCUUUCAAAUUUUGGUUAGGAUUGCCUAAUUCUUAUUAUGGGAGUGAGUGGCGUCUCGAACCAGAGGAUGGUGAUGAGUAUGCCUCAAACUCAGUUUAACCAACUGGAUUUGCUGCUGCUAAUACUGAAGUCCUUGCUGAUAAACUUGCUAGCAUUCCAGCCUUUGCAACAGACACACACUGCUGCUCCAUUGCUUCAAGUAAAGCCUGAGACAUUUUAUCGAACUCAUCAAUACAACAUAAUCCACGAUCAGCAAGUACCAUUGCCCCUAUUGGAAAGAUUUAAUAGCUACUUUAGAAGGUAAGAUUUGAACAUUUUCAUGCAUGUCCAGGACUAAGUACAGCACAGUAUACUGUGUGCCUCUCAAAGAGUCAAAGAAUGCAGUACUCAUGGUCCCCAUUUUCUCUAUUCAAAAGGCGGCUAAUCUUUUCUGGUUUUUCUUAGACACCAAUGUGUUACUCUGAUAUCUACGUGAUGAAGACGACAGAAACCAAAUGAGAACCAUCUAUGAUCUAUCUACUCUUUCCCCUUCAGAUCUGUUAAAGGUUGAUAUACAUUGUUGGCCCACAACCUAAUAGCUUAAGCUUUUAGGUAAAGUGGUAAUCUAACAUGGUAUCAGAGUUGGUUACUAGGAGGUGCUGGGUUCUAGUCUUGUUUCCCAUGUUUAUUGUGUGGUGUUUAAAAAAAUUUUUGUGUUCCCUAUCAUGGGUAUUAUUUAUUGUCAGUUUAUCUCUCCACGUGCUGUCGGGCUGCAUGUUCGGGGGAGUGUUAAAGCUUGACAUACAUUGUUGGCCCGCAACCUAAUAGCUUAAGGUUUUAGGUAAAGUGGUAAUCUAACAAGAUCAAUGAUAUUUGGGCAUUUUUAUGAUA